UCGACGAGAAUUCCGUGACCGGU
rnacentral:miRNA from 1 species